UUGCUAUUUAUUUUAGUUCAUUACAGUAGCACGGACACGAACCACGGUCGUAAUUUGCUCAAUUUCAGCAGUGUCAGAUCAGUUUGCCCAAAAUGGCGAUGUUGUGUUUUGCAUCGGGAGUUUGCAGCACGUCAUUUUUUAUAAAGUUCUAGGAAAAUAUAAAAAAAAGGACUUUGAUGCAAAUUCAAUUGCAUUUUUGGGGCUACGAACUAUAGCCGUAGGAACGUGCAAAAAGGCAGUAAUGUCUUCCGAUAGCGAGUCCGGGUCCGGAUAUACAACUUAUUUCCAUUCAGAGAUUCAGCAUAUUGAAUUGGACGCCCGCCAAGCCCUGGAAGAAUAUUUCGACCAGUCUGCCGGAAUUGUUGGAAGUAACCGGCCUCGGUGGAAUCACUGCCACUGUUCCAAACUACGGCCUGAAGUACCGAACUUUUGGUGAAGCGACAUUUCAAGCGACCGCCGAUGGGAGUGCUAAGCUAAGAGACCCCAAGCACCGUUGCCGAGCCCACAAUGGCUGCUGUGCCAGCGACCUCUGUCAAAUGAUUGUUUUUCUGGCCGACCGCAAACACCCCCCUGAUGCCGGAUGAAACAGUAAUUAUUGCUCAAGGCCCGAAUUCGGAUGUUCACAGUGGUGUGGGUGACGCAGUUGA